AUUAUGCGGAAAUGAAAUUGAAUGUUACUUCGAACACGUUCUUCUACAAAAUAACCUACCUGUAUUUAGUGCUAUUGCUUUAACAUCAAUAGAAGCAAAAAUGGCAUCAAUGUAUGCGUCUAAAAAUGUUAAAUUUAGAUGGAGACAAUCCAGAAAUGAGCUGCCAGGAAGUGAUCGAUUUCGGACACGAAGAUUGAUUAGUGCCUGGAUACAAGGCUAGUAUUGUUAACAUCAUCUGAUACAAUCAACUGGAACAAAGCUGAAAUGGCUGCCUGACCUGACUUAAAAAUUGGAUGGCAGUAUAUCAGACUAGAAGAUUACAAGUAUUGAGGUGAACAAAAUGAAACCUGAGCCUACCAAAGCUGACAGAUUGCACAAGAAACACAUAAAUGCAGAUUGGAAGAUUCAUUCUCUGGAAAGUAGAAAAGGGCAUGUUACAUACUGUUAUCAUUGCCAUGACAGAAACCAUAUUGAGGAGCUGGUCCACCUGUAGGAAGAAUUGCGCUAUUGGUUGGAGCAGCACUAUUACCCAGCCAUACACCAGCACUUAGUUUGUCAUAGGGAGCAUUUCUGAGCAGUUAUGGAGACCACUAACUAUGCAGUUGUUGCAGUGAAACUUGCACCAGUGUGUUUUCUGUGGAGAUAAAGAGAUAGUGUCCAGCAAUGAAGACCCAACUCAAGAUCUGACCUUGUAAGGCCAAUAUGAAAUAACUGUGUGGGAAAAUGGGAAAAACCUGCAGUCAGGAAUGCACGGAAAUCAUCAAAAGAACAGUGUUAAAUUAAUCUUGAAUAACUUGACAUUUAUUUUGUUUGACAUAUUUAUUCAUGGUGCAGUGAAAACAUUCUCUUUUUCUCAUGGUUAUUUAAAUUUAGAAUUGAUAGGAGGGAACAUCACUAUGUAGUUUCAUGUUCAUAGUCAGAUCAAAACCCAUUUACAUGCCCAAAUGAGCAUUCGAAAAUAUCAAAAUGGUACUUGUUGUAUGUAGUGUAAGUUAAUUAACGUAAUAAACAAAAAUAUUUAA